rnacentral:snRNA from 1 species
GUGCUUGCUUCAGCAGCACAGGUACUAAAACUGGACCAAUAAGGAGAAGACUCACUUGGUCCCUGAAUAAGAAUGGCAGGCAAAUUUGUGAAGCAUUCCUUGAAAAA